AGCAGCCGCGGUAAUUCCAGCUCCAAUAGCGUAUAUUAAAGUUGUUGCAGUUAAAAAGCUCGUAGUUGAAUUUCGGGGUUAGUAGGUUGGUCAUGCCUCUGGUAUGUACUGGUCUCACUGAUUCCUCCUUCCUGAUGAGCCGUAAUGCCAUUAAUUUGGUGUUGCGGGGAAUUUGGACUGUUACUUUGAAAAAAUUAGAGUGUUUAAAGCAAGCUAACGCUUGAAUACAUUAGCAUGGAAUAAUGAAAUAGGACGUUCGAUCCUAUUUUGUUGGUUUCUAGGAUUGACGUAAUGAUUAAUAGGGAUAGUUGGGGGCAUUAGUAUUCAAUUGUCAGAGGUGAAAUUCUUGGAUUUGUUGAAGACUAACUACUGCGAAAGCAUUUGCCAAGGAUGUUUUCAUUAAUCAAGAACGAGAGUUAGGGGAUCGAAGACGAUCAGAUACCGUCGUAGUCUUAACCAUAAACUAUGCCGACUAGGGAUCGGAUGAUGUUAAUUUUUUAAUGACUCA
rnacentral:rRNA from 1 species